GAUGAACGCUGGCGGCGUGCCUAAUACAUGCAAGUCGAGCGAACAGAUGAGGAGCUUGCUCCUCUGACGUUAGCGGCGGACGGGUGAGUAACACGUGGAUAACCUACCUAUAAGACUGGGAUAACUUCGGGAAACCGGAGCUAAUACCGGAUAAUAUAUUGAACCGCAUGGUUCAAUAGUGAAUGACGGUUUUGCUGUCACUUAUAGAUGGAUCCGCGCCGCAUUAGCUAGUUGGUAAGGUAACGGCUUACCAAGGCAACGAUGCGUAGCCGACCUGAGAGGGUGAUCGGCCACACUGGAACUGAGACACGGUCCAGACUCCUACGGGAGGCAGCAGUAGGGAAUAUUCCGCAAUGGGCGAAAGCCUGACGGAGCAACGCCGCGUGAGUGAUGAAGGUCUUCGGAUCGUAAAACUCUGUUAUUAGGGAAGAAAAAAUGUGUAAGUAAAUAUGCACGUCUUGACGGUACCUAAUCAGAAAGCCACGGCUAACUACGUG
rnacentral:rRNA from 1 species